CACAGCAACUUGGGAUCUGAGCUGCAUCUGCGACCUACACCACAGCUCUGGCAACGCCAGAUACUAGUUGGGUUCAUUAUUGCUGAGCCACAAAGGGAACUCCUAUUGUCAUUGUUUUCAGACUGACUAGGCCCACUGAAGAAAAGAAAGAUCGUUUAGUGGACUCAUUUGAAACUGUGGUGGAUUCAUUUGAAACUCUGAUCUUUGUCCGUUUCUUAAUUCUCUCUCUUGCUGUGCACUCUCCCAUAGGUAUAUUCAUGUAGCGGUAUACAGGCACAUGCAAACAUGUUAUUUAAAAGGCCUCAUGACACUUAACAAGGACAACUCUAAGUAGAAAAAAAAAUUCUGCUCUUUUAUCUAGUCUUGUUGAUUUCUUUCCACAGUUUCUUAUCUCAGAGCUCCCAGAGCUAGCAUGUUCUAACAUCAGAAUUAGGUAAGUGUCCCAAAGUCAUUCACCUAUAGAAUGCAGGAAGGUAAUAUAAAUGAGUAAAGUAAUGCCAGGAGCAGUAGAGGCUGUGAUGAGCUGCAGAAUACAACUCAGAGGGGACCUCAACCGUCAGCUCUAGCCAGCCAACCCAGUGCUGCCAGAGCUGCUUAUGUGGGGGGGAAAAAUGAAAGAAAGAAAAGGAAGGAAGGGAGGAGGAAAAGAAGGAAGGAGGAAAAAGAGAAAAAAGAAAAAGGAAAACGAACAAAACAUUUGGAAUUGUUCUAACAAACGCAGGUCAAACAAAACUUGGCUGUGGGUGAGCCUGGCCCGCAGCCCAACACAUUGCUUUAAGCUUCUUCUUUCCCUGUAAAAUUAUGUUUGGGUCCUGGGUCAACUUAGGUGGAAUGAAAGAAGAGGAGAAAUCAGGACAAUAGACCCAUAGGAGCCGCAAACCCCCAAGGAAAGGGCAGAAGAAGAGCCAGCCUCGUCAUUUAUCCCUCCCCCGCUUCCCCUUGGGUUUGGAAGUUUCUGUGGACAAAUCCUCAAGCUCAGGGAUUCUUUCCUCAGCCAUGUCCAGUCUACAAAGCAUCUGCACCAAAUCCAGAUUCUUCCUCUCCACUGCCAGGAUCAGGGGCGUCUUACUUCCUUCCCCGCUCACAUUGAC